CUGCUAACGCUUACUCACCACUAGAUGCCGCCAAGAUCUUCUGGUGUGGAGGGUAGCAGGUGUUCCUCAUUUCCUGGAGGAGUAUAAGAAGGUGGAGCUGUCAGCAAUCCAGUGCCUGAGUGUUAACCUCUGUGGAAACCUCAAGUCCUGGUCUCAUGUUCUUGCAACCUUCAGCUCUGGCUCUAAAUCCUCAGUUUUGGACCCUGCCUCAGCCUAAGUACUCAAACCUCAGAAGAAACCCAGUUUGGUUCAAUCUCCAGCUGACAGUUCAAUACCAACUCCGCCAGGCAGGCGAACCCUGCUCACCCUCCACCAAUUGUUCACCAAAGACUCACCAGAGUACUCAUCGUCAUCCAGGAUUAUUCACCGUUUCUGCAGCAGCGUCUGUUCACUCCUCCCAGGCUUCCUCCACGCCAACUUCUGUUCAUCAAACAUACUGUGCCUCCAGUCAUGGUUCCAGUUCAACAUCCAUUACCUGUCAAACUUUUCUUCUGUCUCCUGAGUGUCAUUCUGCAUGUGGGUCAAAUCUGUGAAGAAAACUAUAACAGGUUCUAAAAUAAAACACUGCGUUACAAAAGUUUUAGCAGUUAUGGGACCCAGAAGAGCCA